rnacentral:tRNA from 1 species
AUUACUUUGGCAGAUUGAAUGCGUUAGAUUUAGGAUCUAAGAAUGCGAAUAAGAUUAAGAAUCGUAGGUAAUA